UUCCAGACUCCUACGGGAGGCAGCAGUGAGGAAUAUUGGUCAAUGGCCGGAAGGCUGAACCAGCCAAGCCGCGUGAAGGACGAAGGUGCCAAGCAUUGUAAACUUCUUUUGUCAAGGGACAAAAUCAGGCUCGAGAGCCUGACCGAGGGUACUUGAAGAAAAAGCAUCGGCUAACUCCGUGCCAGCAGCCGCGGUAAUACGGAGGAUGCGAGCGUUUUCCGGAUUUAUUGGGUUUAAAGGGUGCGUAGGCGGAGUGUUAGUCAAGGGGUAAACGCCGGGGCCCCACCCCCGGCGAGCCGUUGAAACUGGCUGUCUUGAGAUGUCGAGAGGUAUGCGGAAUGCGCAGUGUAGCGGUGAAAUGCUUAGAUAUUGCGCAGAACUCCGAUUGCGAAGGCAGCAUACCGGCGGCGAUCUGACGCUGAGGCACGAAAGCGUGGGUAUCGAACAGGAUUAGAUACCCGGGUA
rnacentral:rRNA from 1 species